UAGAUUGUAGGCCCAUUGGAAGGGUUAGCGUCUUGACCCCAAUGAGCCUACAGUCUAAG
rnacentral:pre_miRNA from 1 species